rnacentral:rRNA from 1 species
UACGUAGGGGGCAAGCGUUAUCCGGAAUUACUGGGCGUAAAGCGCACGCAGGCGGUUUGCCAAGUUUGGAGUGACAGUUGUCGGCUCAACCGAUAAAGGACUUCAAAAACUGGUGAACUUGAGGACGAGAGAGGAACAUGGAACUCCAGGUGUAGUAGUGAAAUGCGUAGAUAUCUGGAAGAACACCAAUGGCGAAGGCAAUGUUCUGGCUCGUUUCUGACGCUCAGGUGCGAAAGCCAGGGGAGCGAACGGG